AAGUCGUAACAAGGUUUCCGUAGGUGAACCUGCGGAAGGAUCAUUAAUGAAAUGUUAGGACGCUGUUUUUACAGGUCCGACCCUUUUAUUACCUUUCACACUGUGCACAUCACUACUUUUUUACACCCAUUUUUUAAACACUUAUAAAGUCAUUAGAAUGUAAACAGUCUCUUAAUUGAGCAUAAACUAUAACAAAACUUUCGGCAACGGAUCUCUUGGCUCUCCCAUC
rnacentral:misc_RNA from 1 species